rnacentral:lncRNA from 1 species
GUCAGAGAGGCCUAGAACACGCUUAACCCCCAGUCUACCAUCGUAGCCUGAUGGCUUAUGCGGCCUUUUUGUGUGCCCUUUUAAAUUCUAGCUUACCAGCCACAUGACUUGGGCUUCUUCAGGCCUAAAAUAGGCCUCUGGCCACGUCUCCAAAGGAGUGCCCCGAAGCACACCGAGGGCUGGCUGCCAAGCUGGCCGAGUGAGACAAGUAUUUGAAGUAAGUGCUGGGUGUUUUGCUUACGGAUUCUUCUCCACCACCUCAUGGAGGCACAGAGAGCAAUCAGGGGCUGAAAUGGAUUCUCAAAUGAUGGAAGUGAGCAAUAGAGAUCAAUUAGUAGUAAUAGCACCAGCUGGAACAAAAAUCA